rnacentral:hammerhead_ribozyme from 1 species
GAACUGUUGAAGUGUUCCAGAAUAGGACGAAACAGCCGUUCAGUGC